rnacentral:rRNA from 1 species
AGAGUUUGAUCAUGGCUCAGGAUGAACGCUGGCGGCGUGCUUAACACAUGCAAGUCGAACGAAGCAUACAGAGCGGACUCCUUCGGGAGGAAGGUCAGUAUGACUGAGUGGCGGACGGGUGAGUAACGCGUGAGUAACCUGCCCCACACAGGGGGACAACAGCCGGAAACGGCUGCUAAUACCGCGUAAGCGCACACUACCGCAUGGUAGAGUGUGAAAAGCUCCGGCGGUGUGGGAUGGACUCGCGUCUGAUUAGGCAGUUGGCGGGGCAGCGGCCCACCAAACCGACGAUCAGUAGCCGGCCUGAGAGGGUGAACGGCCACAUUGGGACUGAGACACGGCCCAGAUUCCUACGGGAGGCAGCAGUGGGGAAUAUUGCACAAUGGGGGGAACCCUGAUGCAGCGACGCCGCGUGAAGGAAGAAGUAUUUCGGUAUGUAAACUUCUAUCAGCAGGGAAGAAGAUGACGGUACCUGACUAAGAAGCCCCGGCUAACUACGUGCCAGCAGCCGCGGUAAUACGUAGGGGGCAAGCGUUAUCCGGAAUUACUGGGUGUAAAGGGAGCGUAGGCGGCGUUGUAAGUCAGAUGUGAAAUACCGGGGCCCAACCCCGGGAUUGCAUUUGAAACUGUGACGCUCGAGUACCGGGAGAGGUAAGCGGAAUUCCUAGUGUAGCGGGUGAAAUGCGUAGAUAUUAGGAGGAACACCAGUGGCGAAGGGCGGCUUACUGGACGGAGACUGACGCUGAGGCUCGAAAGCGUGGGGGAGCAAACAGGAUUAGAUACCCUGGUAGUCCACGCCG